GAUGAAGAACGUAGCGAAAUGCGAUACUUGGUGUGAAUUGCAGAAUCCCGUGAACCAUCGAGUCUUUGAACGCAAGUUGCGCCUCAAGCCAUUAGGUUGAGGGCACGUCUGCCUGGGCGUCACAUAUCGUUGCCUGAUGCCAGUUUCCUCGUGAUGGGUGACUGUGCAGGGCGAAUGAUGGCUUCCCGUGAUCAUUGUUGCCUCAUGGUUGGUUGAAAAUUGAGUCCUUGGUAGGGAGCGCCGUGAUAGAUGGUGGUUGAGUGACGAACGAGACCCAAUCAUGUGAGACCCCUACCGAAUUUGGCCUUCAUGACCCACAUGCGUCUUUGGAACGCUCAUGACGAGACCUCAGGUCAGGCGGGGCUACCCGCUGAGUUUAAGCAUAUCAAUAAGCGGAGGA
rnacentral:misc_RNA from 1 species